UAUUGCCAUUUAUAUAGCGCCAACAGAUUCCGUAGCGCUUUACAAUAUAUACUAAUAGUUCUCAUUUGCAUUUUCUUUAAUAGGCCUUUGUGGAUUUCUUUUCAAGAGGUCUCCACACAGAAUACCAGUCAAAAGGAAUCACUGUUCAGGUAUGGAGCAAGGCAAAUAGCAAAAAGCAGGCCAUAUUAUUUUGCAAAAAGUGUCUGCUACCAGAUUUGCUCGCGUAAAUUCAGCUGAAAUUUGGUGUUCGAUAAAUAUGCAAAUCCUAUAUGCGUAUUAAUUCUUUUGAAAUAACUGAAAUUCAAACAGAGUUAUCAUUAGUAAAUUUGAAAAUUGCAAAUUUAGUUGAAAUUCAGUGAUUUUUAAAAAUUUAAUAUUGAGUAAUAUGUCACCUAAAGGAUUUUGAGAUUAGUUUGGAAAUUAGACAGAGGCAAAUUUCAUAUAGAGAGGGCCCUGGUGCUAGAAAGUAUUGGGGGAUGGCUCUAGAACAAAGGUGGCCAAAAGGUAAAUCCACAAUGCAUGGAUCUGCCAUUUGCCCAUCCUUGCAGGGCUGUAUCUGUGAGCAGUGUCGGUAUGUUGGAACGUAAGCAUUAUUUAUUGAUUUAUAAAAUAUUUUACCAGGAAAGACACAUUGAAAUUUCUCUCGUUUUCAGGUUUUGUAUGGACUAUGUGUGAAUGUAGGGGUGUAUUUGGGGGAUAGUAUUGCAGUUGUCUGUUUGUAUUUAUUGUUGCUACUUGUAUGCCGGGGUGUGUGUGUUGCCAUUUGAAUGUAGAUGUGUGCUUGUAUGUAGUGUAUUUGAAUGUAGGAGUGUGCUUGUAUGUAGUGUUGGUGUUUGAAUAUAAGGGGCAUUUGAAUAUAAGGGUGUAUUUGUGUGUAUUGUUGACAUUUGAAUUCAAGGGUGUUUAUGUGCAUAGUAUGGGUGUUUGAAUGUGAAGAGGUAUAUACAGAUACACUGCCACACGUCAUGAUUUACAUAAUUUUAGCCACCUACCUGUUUGCCUAAGUUUUGGGUGCAGGAGCAUUGAUUGGCUGAGGUCUAAUGGGAUCUGGCUACAGCACAAGCUAUUUUAGGCAGCUAGGAGUCUCGGGCUGGUCCAGGCUCUCCCAUUUCUUCUCUCUCUCCUCCUCUCUGUUCCUGUGCGACUCUCUAGAAGCUGGGAGGAAGAAACCUGAACCCAUUUCUCUCAGCACAACAACCUUAGUACCAAUAUGACACUGGCCCAGUCACACUAGACCAGGCCACUGAUCAGACAUGCCUAUCAGUGGCCCUAAGUGUGAGGGCCACUCGAUGCCCCCCAUUGGUUGUAUCACCACUGCUAUUAGAACAGGUUGGUAGACUUGGUUAUAGAUGGAGUAGCAAAUAGAUAUAUGUUCAUGUUCUCCAACUCCUAAAUCCUGUUCUUUUCUUCCAGUGUGUGAUGCCGUUAUUUGUCUCAACACCAAUGACUUCUCGUAUGAAAACAAAUAUCUUUGUAAAGUCUGCUGAUGACUUUGCCCGGGAGGCUCUAAACACUGUGGGUUACACAAACAGAACCAGCGGCUGUCUCUCUCACUCCCUUCAGGUAUAUAUUUUGGCAAUCGUCUAGCAACUCACCAUUAAGGCUAUUGCUAUUCAUCUUCACAUGUUCUAUCAUAGGGAGAUUUUGGCACGGUGUCUCAUCUGGAGCAAUUUCCUAUACAAUAGAACGUUUACUUUGAGAAAUGAACGACAUGUAGUUAUGUUUUGUAUAGGCAGAGUUUAGUGGGGAGAAACAGUUGUAUAGUUGGAAACGAGAGAUACACUAGUGGCAAAAUCCAGGAAAAAAAUCAGGUAAGCUUUAUCACAUGUUGUACUGGACACCAAAUGAAUUUAUUAGGUGGCCAAUAUAGGGCGGUGUAAAAUUAGAACAGAAAGGAGCCAAGGAUAGAACCAACUGAAGACAGACAACAAGGUGAAUGUUAUGAAGAGUAAUAUUAUGAUGUAGCUGUUCCUCUAUGCCAGAAGCAGCAGAAAUGGUAAAAUAGUUUAUAUACAGUAGUGAUUGUAUUUAUGUGAUCUUUGUGUGUAAUAUGCCCUAUUGGGCAUUAUGGAUAAGGUACCUGCGCUCUGUUUGUAGAAUGACCUGUAAUCUGCAAUCCAGAGCUGGGCAAAGCUACCGGAGCUGACUUCCACCACACAUUCUCACAUCAGAGGGGAGUGGUGCAGUGCAAUCACAUGCUACUGUACUGCUAGAAAAGACUGUGAUUGGACCCAUGCUGAUUCAGAGCGCAAGCGAGUGCCACGGAACGGCAAAGUGAUGGAGUGGUGGUAGAGGAGAGAUGGAGUGUUUUAAAAAAACCUAAAUGCUGCCUGCAAUGGAGGGAGGUGGGAGGUAGCACCCGCUGGGUGAGAGGGGAUUGCUAUCUCAAACUUGCAUGGUGCACCUUGCCUACACAGAGAAGAUUUUUUUCAUCUGUUGCCAGGGUGCAGUGCGUGAUGUUGAGACAUAAUCUAUGCACAAAUUUACAUUAGACAGCCUGAAACAUUUUUUUUUAAAAUAAAAUAUAUAUAUAUAUUUUUUAAUUUAUACUGUCCUAUUGAGCACUACGAAGCAUGUCCACCGUCGAUUUUUAGCCACCUGUAAAAAAAAAAAAAAAUUUACUUUUUUAGAGUUUCCACACCCUAUACGACAUCACAAGGUAUCACUUAUUUUCCCCUCCGUAGUCUAAUCAAAUGCACAAAGAGAAUGAAUAGAGGGAUGGAGGGGGAUCUAGGCUUCCCUUUGCAGGCAAACUCCCUGCCUGCAAGGGCAGAAUCUCAGUGUACACUGAUGACAAAGGAAAAUGUUGCACAGAGGCAGCAUGGAUCAGAGUAUUAGGCAGCCUGGAACAGAGUCCCUAAGUCAUGUAUGCUGGGGGUGUAACAAGCCACCAGUACAAAAGUGCAAAUAUCAAGCUGAAACACUGCACAAACAAAUCCUACCACCCUGGCCACUUCCGAAAGAAGAAGAGGUGGUUGGAGUAAACGUUUAACUAUGACAACUUCAAGAUUACAUUUAUUUGCCAGUUUACUAUUAACCCUUUAAAAUUGUUGAUGCAAUUGCAUUAUCCUUUUUAAACUCCAAUGAACAAAGGAGAAAAAAAACCUAUGCCUCAGUGUAUGUAAUGUCAGUAGCCUACCAGAAAUGGGCAUUUUACAGGUGUACAAAUUACCUCUCAGCAUUCCACGCAGUAGAAGGUAUUUUAAGCUCCUUCUGUGCAGAAUGCCUUUGACACACAGAAUAACAGGAUUGUUAAAAAAAAAAAAAAAUGGUUUAAGAUUAUAAAUGGAAGUCGUUGGCUUAAUUUUCUGCCCGGUUAGCUAAAAACAUUGCCAUUAUUAACUUUACAGUGAAACACUUUAUCAGGUAAUGGCCACAAUUCAUUUAUUUUUAAUCUAUUUCAUAGAGCUAUGCCUUGGAAUUACUACUCCCUGAUCCCGUGUUUAAGGCUUUUUUGUCAAUGAAAAUUGUGACAGAUUACUUUGAGCAUCUAAUGAACCCGGACAAGAAGAAGAAGCAAAAAUGAACAAUCAAUGUGACUAUAACACAAGAAAUAAUUAUUGAUGAAAAGAAAUAAAAUAAAAAA
rnacentral:lncRNA from 1 species